GACAAGAAAUAACAAUACAGGGCUUUCGUCUUGUAAUUGGAAUGAUGGUGAUGUACAACCUCACCAGAGUACCAAUUGGAGGGCAAGUCUGGUGCCAGCAGCCGCGGUAAUUCCAGCUCCAAUAGCGUAUAUUAAACUUGUUGCAGUUAAAAAGCUCGUAGUUGUAUUUCAGCCUCGCGUUUUUUCCCUUGUUUUGGGUCUUUUCGCUGGCUUUUUUUUUACUUUGAGAAAAUUAGAGUGUUUCAAGCAGACUUUUGUCUUGAAUACUUCAGCAUGGAAUAAUAGAGUAGGACCUUGGUUCUAUUUUGUUGGUUUCGAGCCUUGGUAAUGGUUAAUAGGAACGGUUGGGGGCA
rnacentral:rRNA from 1 species